GCRUCACCGACCUCCUGUACAGCGGACCCUACAACGCGGUGAAGACUUCAUCAGGCUCAGGAAACUUCUCUCUGACUUGGACGCCGUCUGCCAGUGAAGAAGGGCAGAGCCACUCCAUCUGUUUUGUGGUCCAGUCAAAUUACUCGAACACUUUGCUGCACUCUGACCUCCGGUGUGUUAUCGUGACGGUUGGAAACGGCCCAACAACGACUACAACUACACCAAACCUUGCCGUAUCAACCGCAAUCCCAAACAUUCUCCAAACUACAGCAACUACAACUACGACUGCUA